ACUUUCGAGGAGCGUUGCAACUCCCGCCCGGGAGCCAGGCUCGAAAGUCAUCCCCCGAUGCAACGGCGCUCACCCGCA
rnacentral:ncRNA from 16 species